UACAGAGGGGGCAAGCGUUGUUCGGAAUUACUGGGCGUAAAGGGCGCGUAGGCGGCCGCCUAAGUCAGACGUGAAAUCCCUCGGCUCAACCGGGGAACUGCGUCUGAUACUGGUUGGCUUGAGUGCAGGAGAGGAACGCGGAAUUCCAGGUGUAGCGGUGAAAUGCGUAGAUAUCUGGAGGAACACCGGUGGCGAAGGCGGCGUUCUGGACUGCAACUGACACUGAGGAACGAAAGCCAGGGGAGCAAACGGG
rnacentral:rRNA from 1 species